rnacentral:rRNA from 1 species
UACAGAGGCCUCAAGCGUUGUUCGGAUUCAUUGGGCGUAAAGGGUGUGUAGGUGGCGCCGUAAGUCGGGUGUGAAAUUUCGGAGCUUAACUCCGAAACUGCAUUUGAUACUGCGGUGCUUGAGGACUGGAGAGGAGACUGGAAUUCAUGGUGUAGCAGUGAAAUGCGUAGAGAUCAUGAGGAAGACCAGUGGCGAAGGCGGGUCUCUGGACAGUUCCUGACACUGAGACACGAAGGCCAGGGGAGCAAACGGG